GAUGAACGCUAGCUACAGGCUUAACACAUGCAAGUCGAGGGGAAACGAUAGAGAAAGCUUGCUUUUUCUAGGCGUCGACCGGCGCACGGGUGAGUAACGCGUAUCCAACCUGCCCACCACUUGGGGAUAACCUUGCGAAAGUAAGACUAAUACCCAAUGACGUCUCUAGAAGACAUCUGAAAGGGAUUAAAGAUUUAUCGGUGAUGGAUGGGGAUGCGUCUGAUUAGCUUGUUGGCGGGGUAACGGCCCACCAAGGCAACGAUCAGUAGGGGUUCUGAGAGGAAGGUCCCCCACAUUGGAACUGAGACACGGUCCAAACUCCUACGGGAGGCAGCAGUGAGGAAUAUUGGUCAAUGGGCGAGAGCCUGAACCAGCCAAGUAGCGUGCAGGAUGACGGCCCUAUGGGUUGUAAACUGCUUUUAUAAGGGAAUAAAGUGAGCCUCGUGAGGCUUUUUGCAUGUACCUUAUGAAUAAGGACCGGCUAAUUCCGUGCCAGCAGCCGCGGUAGUACGGAAGGUCCGGGCGUUAUCCGGAUUUAUUGGGUUUAAAGGGAGCGUAGGCGGGCUAUUAAGUCAGCUGUGAAAUCCGGCGGCUCAACCGUCGGCCUGCAGUUGAUACUGGUGGCCUUGAGUGCGCGCAGGGGUGUUGGAAUUCAUGGUGUAGCGGUGAAAUGCUCAGAUAUCAUGAAGAACUCCGAUCGCGAAGGCAGAUGCCCGGAGCGCAACUGACGCUGAGGCUCGAAAGUGCGGGUAUCAAACAGG
rnacentral:rRNA from 1 species